rnacentral:sRNA from 1 species
GACAUGCCCCAGCCACGGCUUGCUCUCAACUGUGUUGGUGGGAAAAGCUCCACAGAGCUGCUGCGGCAGUUAGCGCGUGGAGGAACCAUGGUAACCUAUGGGGGGAUGGCCAAGCAGCCCGUCGUAGCCUCUGUGAGCCUGCUCAUUUUUAAGGAUCUCAAACUUCGAGGCUUUUGGUUGUCCCAGUGGAAGAAGGAUCACAGUCCAGACCAGUUCAAGGAGCUGAUCCUCACACUGUGCGAUCUCAUCCGCCGAGGCCAGCUCACAGCCCCUGCCUGCUCCCAGGUCCCGCUGCAGGACUACCAGUCUGCCUUGGAAGCCUCCAUGAAGCCCUUCAUAUCUUCAAAGCAGAUUCUCACCAUGUGAUCAUCCCAAAAGAGCUGGAGUGACAUGGGAGGGGAGGCGGAUCUGAGGGGCUGGGUGCAGGCCCCUCAGUUGGGGUUCCCACCUUCCCCAGACUACUGUUCUCCUCACUGCCUCUUCCUAUUAGGAGGAUGGUGAAGCCAGCCACGAUUUUCCCCAGGGCCAGCCUUAAGGUAUCUAAUAAAGUCUGAACUCUCCCUUCCAAAAA